rnacentral:antisense_RNA from 1 species
GGAAGGGAGGAAGCGUAGAAGGUGCCGAUGCACUUUUCCUCUCUCCAGCCCUCCUGACUGCUCCAAGAAUUUCAUCGAACAAGACUCAAAGAGGCCCAGCUGCUCUGCGUUUUGAUUCUUCUCCCUCUCUCAGUCCACACUGACCUGGGAGGGGCUUCUCAAACACCACAUUUCCUAGCAUGCUGUGAGAAGAGGACUGUGAGCUAAGAAGGGAGAAAAGGCACUCCCUCCUCAUCAACAAACACCUGACCUGGGUAGACCCUCUGCUUACCAAGAUCCAGUCCACCUUUUGACAUCAGCAUUCAUGCUGCCUCUUUUUACGAACCAAGCCAAAGUGGUCCCUUCCUCUGGAAAUUAUAGGAUACUUAAUGUACAUCAUAUCCAGCACUUUCCAUCAAAAAGCAGAGUAUUUCAGCAUCAUCUGAACCUGGGCUAGACUUAGGACUUAUACUGAUGAACAAAAUGUGACAGGAGUGAUGUUACUCAGUUCCAAGCUUAAGCCUCUAGAGACAGACUCUGCAGCUUCCACUUACAUCUCUUGAAUGCUAUCCUGAGAGCAACAUGUGAAAAAGUCCAAGCUAGCCUACUGGAAGAUGAAAGACUACAUGGAACACAGACAAGCCAUUCCGGCUGAGGCCCCCUAAGCCAACCUAACAAUCCACCCACAGAAUUGUGAGAAGUCAUUAAAUUAUCCUUUUAAACCACUAA